GAUGAAGAACGUAGCGAAAUGCGAUAAGUAAUGUGAAUUGCAGAAUUCAGUGAAUCAUCGAAUCUUUGAACGCACAUUGCGCCCGCCAGCUUUCUGGCGGGCAUGCCUGUUCGAGCGUCAUUUCAACCCUCGAGCCCCCCCGGGGGCCUCGGUGUUGGGGGACGGCACACCAGCCGCCCCCGAAAUGCAGUGGCGACCCCGCCGCAGCCUCCCCUGCGUAGUAGCACACACCUCGCACCGGAGCGCGGAGGCGGUCACGCCGUAAAACGCCCAACUUUCUUAGAGUUGACCUCGGAUCAGGUAGGAAUACCCGCUGAACUUAAGCAUAUCAAUAAGCGGAGGA
rnacentral:misc_RNA from 1 species